rnacentral:piRNA from 1 species
UCCCAGCUAGCAGGAGUCAAAUGGCCC